rnacentral:rRNA from 1 species
AUUGAACGCUGGCGGCAGGCCUAACACAUGCAAGUCGAGCGGAUGAAGGGAGCUUGCUCCUGGAUUCAGCGGCGGACGGGUGAGUAAUGCCUAGGAAUCUGCCUGGUAGUGGGGGAUAACGUCCGGAAACGGGCGCUAAUACCGCAUACGUCCUGAGGGAGAAAGUGGGGGGUCUUCGGACCUCACGCUAUCAGAUGAGCCUAGGUCGGAUUAGCUAGUUGGUGGGGUAAAGGCCUACCAAGGCGACGAUCCGUAACUGGUCUGAGAGGAUGAUCAGUCACACUGGAACUGAGACACGGUCCAGACUCCUACGGGAGGCAGCAGUGGGGAAUAUUGGACAAUGGGCGAAAGCCUGAUCCAGCCAUGCCGCGUGUGUGAAGAAGGUCUUCGGAUUGUAAAGCACCUUAAGUUGGGAGGAAGGGCAGUAAGUUAAUACCUUGCUGUUUUGACGUUACCAACAGAAUAAGCACCGGCUAACUUCGUG